rnacentral:rRNA from 1 species
UACGGAGGGUGCAAGCGUUACUCGGAAUCACUGGGCGUAAAGGGCGCGUAGGCGGCCUAGCAAGUCUGGUGUGAAAGCCCAGGGCUCAACCCUGGAAGGGCACUGGAAACUGUUAGGCUUGAGUUCCGGAGAGGAGGGGGGAAUUCCCGGUGUAGCGGUGAAAUGCGUAGAUAUCGGGAGGAAUACCGGUGGCGAAGGCGCCCCUCUGGACGGAAACUGACGCUGAGGCGCGACCGCGUGGGGAGCAAACCGG